rnacentral:rRNA from 1 species
AUGGGAAGAGCUGUUGGGGGCCAUGGUCAAGGUAAACAACGACAGUGGGGUGAGCACGGUGGAACCGUGGAAGCAGGCGGCGGCGCUGAGGCGGACAUGCGGGAGGUGGACAGCGGCGCCAUUGCAGCCAUGGAGGAGGUGGACAGGGGCGCUGGGCCGGUCAUGGCGCACAUGGACGGCGGCGCUAGGCCGGCCAUGGCGGGGGCGGACGGCGGCGACGUGGCCAUGGCUGAGCCAUGCGGCGGCGAUCCAUAA